UGAGGAAUAUUGGUCAAUGGGCGAGAGCCUGAACCAGCCAAGUCGCGUGAAGGAAGACUGCCCGCAAGGGUUGUAAACUUCUUUUGUAUGGGAUUAAAGUCACCUACGUGUAGGUGUUUGCAGUUACCAUACGAAUAAGCAUCGGCUAACUCCGUGCCAGCAGCCGCGGUAAUACGGAGGAUGCGAGCGUUAUCCGGAAUUAUUGGGUUUAAAGGGUGCGUAGGUUGCAAGGGAAGUCAGGGGUGAAAAGCUAUAGCUCAACUAUGGUCUUGCCUUUGAAACGCUCUGGCUAGAGUGUACUGGAGGUACGUGAAACGUGUGGUGUAGCGGUGAAAUGCAUGAAUAUCACACAGAACUCCGAUUGCGCGGGCAGCGUACUACAUUACAACUGACACUGAAGCACGAAAGCGUGGGUAUCAAACAGG
rnacentral:rRNA from 1 species